CACCGCCCGACCUGGUGCGCUUGUAUUCAAAAUUUGAACGUAUGGCGUACUCCCUUAAAGCCUUGUGAAAAGCAUUUGUAUCUUCAAAUUCUUGGCCUUCUUUUAAAACUAACAUAAUUUUCGGCAUGUCAUUAACACAACUACCAACCACCUUGUCAUGGAAUUCUUGAUUAUCCAUCAACAAGCAGUCCACUUUACGUAAAUCAUUUGAUGCGCUUGGAACAUCAUUGUUAUUGACAUUAGUAUUAUAGAAUCAAUGAACUGCAUAAUUGCAAACACAAACAAAUUGGUAUUUCAGGUACCUGGGAUUCACAGUGGGGAUUGAAAGGUUUUGGCCACGAAAAAUGAAGAGCUGAAUAGGCUCGCUGCUUUGAGGAAAUGCUUCCAUCAUAUUGGAUACGUCAUCAUCAUUCUCAAUCGACACAAGUGAAUCCAAAUCUAGACCAGGAUAUUUGUACUCGAUGCUGCUAAUGUCGGUAAACUUGCAAAUCCCAUGCACUUUAGA